AGGCGAUAGUGAGGGACACGUGUUUGGAGAUCCAUGAACCUCUCCCAAACUUCAUAGAGGGAUUAUCCAUCGUAUUGGUAGAAGUCAAUAAUAUCCUUUGUCAAUUU